UGCUGGGUUGCUUUCUUCUCAUGGAUUACAUACUCUGCUGCUACACUGUCCAGGAAGCAGUCACUGGCUCCGUGGGGCUACUGAACUCUAAAUACAGCUGGAACCACGACAAGCAGAAUUUUCAUUGUAUUUCACUUUAAUUAUUUCAGUUUCAAGUUCGGCAGCCAUGCCUGACUCCGGCCAUCAUUGCAGCCAGCACAGAUCUCUGUGUGUUCCUGCAGCAUUUCCUCAAAGACUGGGCUAACGUCUAGGACCGGCUUCGAAACUAAACGUGAAGGUAUCACACUGGCUUUCUCUAUUUCCCAGGUCACAUGUUGGAAAUACAGUUUCUGUGACAUCCUAACUUUUCCUGUUGCUGGCCUCCCACCUGGAAAUCAACUGGAUUGACUCUUUCCACUUCCAGGGAAGAAAUUUCAUGAGCUCAUUGGGUUAGCUGCCCACUCCAGGUCCACAGACCAUGUCCAGUAGGGUAGAGGCUCAACAUGGCUGCUUCAGCUGUGCCAACGUGAUUUGCAGGGUGCAAGACACAGAGACUAGACUGGGAGCUGUUUUUAGACAUAAGAUUGGGCUUAAUAAUCACUAGAAUAGGUGCUUACCACAGAUGGUGAAUGUUGGGUAACAUUUUAUUAAACACCUAUUUUGCAUUCAGCAUUGGGCUUGACUUCUGGGUCAGAGGACGGAAAUUCGAGGCUAUUUAUACUUCUUGCCGUAGAAAUGAAAAUGUCAUUAUGUAGUAUCUGUUAUAUGGCAGGCAAUACUGCCGACUACGUUUUGUCUCAUUUAAUACAACAAAUCUACAGGUUGGCAUGGUCAGUGAACCUCUCAGGUCCUUCAAGAGAACCAGUGGCCAGGGGCAUUGUUGAUUGACAGCUUCUAGCGGCCACCUCCUUGAAUUUGUCCCUGUGUUCACACCAGGCCUUUUCCUGGGCUGCUUGUCCCUAGCCAAGUACUCAGCCCAGUGGGUCAACAGAACAGGGUCAGCGCUGCCCUCUGAGGAUGUUCCAGUGAUCACGUUCGGCUUGGGAGUUCUCUACCAGCCGGAAGACUUUUUUGAGAACUGUGCUGUGGUGUACGGCGCGUCAGACGCACCCCGUUUCUCCUCUCACAGGUGCCGGACGCCUGCUUCCCACUUCCCUCCACCGCCUUCUUCCUUCACAAGCCUUUCCCCCCAACAAACCCCUUGCAUAUCUAGCCCAUCUUGGUGUCUGUUUCUUAGAGGACCUGAGCAGACACCUCCAUUGCCUUUUUACAGAUUAGAAAACCAAUUCAUAGAGAGGCUGGAUAUGUUUCCCAAGGUCACAUACAUACUGCUAGUAAAAGGAAAGUUCCAGAAUCAAACAUAAAUCUCUCUGACAUGAAUGCUCAUAUUCUUCCCAUGACAUAAUAUGCUUUCCACUGUAGAUGGCAAGUUUUAUGAGAACGUGCUCAUUAACUUGUGAGAUUUUUAGAAUAAUGUGUUAUGUCAAAAAGCAAUGGUAGCUGUUACUCUUCUUAUUUUUGCCUUUGUUCAUGUAUUGUGAGAAACUUGGACAGCAACUCAGCAUAGCACCUAGAAAAGCUGUGUGGCAGGUCGUGAAGAUGGCCAGGUAGCCCUCGUCACCUGCCUCCACACCCUGGCAAUGUGACACUGCACAUCUUCGCAUUGAGAAGUGGAGAGCAUUUCCGAGCCCGUGAACGGAAGUGGAGCUGGCGACCCUGGACAGUGAGCACGUAUGGGGAUACUACCCAUGUGAGCCCACAGAGGGCGGACUCAGAGAGCUAGGUGCUAAAUAGACGGUGUUGCUUUUGAGCCAGUGGAUGUUGGGUGGCUCAUUAUGUGGCGACAUACCGCUGCUGUCCGGCCAUAGCUGCAGAGAGAACGUAUUUGCAGUGGGCACUCUCGGUGGUCUAGCCAAUUAGCCCUUCCCUCUUUUUGUUAUCAUCACACUAAUGGUCUUGAGGAAUUUGGCACAGUAUAAGCUCAUAAGCCUCUCCCCAGUGCCAGCUGGGUAAAUGCUGAUUAGGAUAAGCCAAUCACAGUGAUGUCAUUUAUUUUGCUGGUGAAUAGGCAGCGGAGAUAACGCCUACAAAGUCAUCUGGGAAUUCUCCUGGAGGGACUUUUCUGGAUACAAAGCAGAAACAUGCCACAUCUGGGAUAUUGUUGUUUGAUGACGUGAUGUGUGCAGCUCUGGCAAACGACCUUCAAGCUGCAAGUUGAAAGUCAAGAGAAGCUGAUGUGGAUAACAUCUCUCAUGGUGCGUUGUUGAGCCCCCAAAUUAAACAACCCUCGAACUGCCUACUCAAGACAUCCUGUUAUGUGAAAUACUGAAUUCCCUACUGCUUAAGACUUCUCAAUCCACUAGGAUGCACUGCUGCCUCGUAGCUCUGGGAUGAGGCCCCUGGCUUCCCAUGUGUGUUCAUAAACUGCUCUGCCAACCUGGAGUCUCACCUCACUUUCUCAAGCAAGCAUAUGUGUUGCUGCAUCCUUAUUUCCGGACACCCCAGAAACCGUCUUUACUAAACGAUGGAAAAGAUGAUGUUAGAAAGCAGCUGAUCUGAGAAUCGCUUUGAUCCCUGGCAACACUCCAACGUCUGAUAAGAACUACCAGGGAGGCCCACCAAAGAAUAGGUGACUUCGAUUCACAGGCUCAGAAACAGUCUCCACUACUCUCCAAAGAGCAGAUUAUUUCCAAAAUGGCAUCCAUCCACGCGCCAUCCAGGGUGUUGCAGGAAUGCUUCUAACUUGUGAAUUUGAAGGGAGGGCCAUCUGAAAGUGAUAUCAAUGGAGCGUGGUGCCCUGGCAAACAUUGACAGAGGCCUUCAGAUGCCCUGAGUUUCCUCCUUGGGAACACCAGGUCGAUUAUGGACUCCUCAGACAACCUCACUGGGCAGUGGGCAUGCCAUAAUGGGGGAGCAUGCGGACUCAGAAGGGGGACAGUGUAUCCGUCCAUCAGCAAAUAAAUAGUCGCUGAGUGCAUGCAGGUGCCAGCAUGCAGGCUCUGCGUCUUUAUGAUCAGAACUCCUACCAAAGAUAAGGGGUUCUGGAGGGCACAGGCUUUGGUGAAGACAGGCUGGGGUCACUUCUGCAGAACCACCAGUCCCCAUGGUAUUACCAAACACCCUUAAGGUCAGGGACUUAAGUUUGAAUA